rnacentral:rRNA from 1 species
GGUUAAGCGACUAAGCGUACACGGUGGAUGCCCUGGCAGUCAGAGGCGAUGAAGGACGUGCUAAUCUGCGAAAAGCGUCGGUAAGGUGAUAUGAACCGUUAUAACCGGCGAUGUCCGAAUGGGGAAACCCAGUGUGUUUCGACACACUAUCAUUAACUGAAUCCAUAGGUUAAUGAGGCGAACCGGGGGAACUGAAACAUCUAAGUACCCCGAGGAAAAGAAAUCAACCGAGAUUCCCCCAGUAGCGGCGAGCGAACGGGGAGGAGCCCAGAGCCUGAAUCAGUGUGUGUGUUAGUGGAAGCGUCUGGAAAGGCGCGCGAUACAGGGUGACAGCCCCGUACACAAAAAUGCACAUGCUGUGAGCUCGAUGAGUAGGGCGGGACACGUGGUAUCCUGUCUGAAUAUGGGGGGACCAUCCUCCAAGGCUAAAUACUCCUGACUGACCGAUAGUGAACCAGUACCGUGAGGGAAAGGCGAAAAGAACCCCGGCGAGGGGAGUGAAAAAGAACCUGAAACCGUGUACGUACAAGCAGUGGGAGCCCUGAUUUAUCAGGGUGACUGCGUACCUUUUGUAUAAUGGGUCAGCGACUUAUAUUCUGUAGCAAGGUUAACCGAAUAGGGGAGCCGGAGGGAAACCGAGUCUUAACUGGGCGUUAAGUUGCAGGGUAUAGACCCGAAACCCGGUGAUCUAGCCAUGGGCAGGUUGAAGGUUGGGUAACACUAACUGGAGGACCGAACCGACUAAUGUUGAAAAAUUAGCGGAUGACUUGUGGCUGGGGGUGAAAGGCCAAUCAAACCGGGAGAUAGCUGGUUCUCCCCGAAAGCUAUUUAGGUAGCGCCUCGUGAAUUCAUCUCCGGGGGUAGAGCACUGUUUCGGCAAGGGGGUCAUCCCGACUUACCAACCCGAUGCAAACUGCGAAUACCGGAGAAUGUUAUCACGGGAGACACACGGCGGGUGCUAACGUCCGUCGUGAAGAGGGAAACAACCCAGACCGCCAGCUAAGGUCCCAAAGUCAUGGUUAAGUGGGAAACGAUGUGGGAAGGCCCAGACAGCCAGGAUGUUGGCUUAGAAGCAGCCAUCAUUUAAAGAAAGCGUAAUAGCUCACUGGUCGAGUCGGCCUGCGCGGAAGAUGUAACGGGGCUAAACCAUGCACCGAAGCUGCGGCAGCGACACUGUGUGUUGUUGGGUAGGGGAGCGUUCUGUAAGCCUGCGAAGGUGUGCUGUGAGGUAUGCUGGAGGUAUCAGAAGUGCGAAUGCUGACAUAAGUAACGAUAAAGCGGGUGAAAAGCCCGCUCGCCGGAAGACCAAGGGUUCCUGUCCAACGUUAAUCGGGGCAGGGUGAGUCGACCCCUAAGGCGAGGCCGAAAGGCGUAGUCGAUGGGAAACAGGUUAAUAUUCCUGUACUUGGUGUUACUGCGAAGGGGGGACGGAGAAGGCUAUGUUGGCCGGGCGACGGUUGUCCCGGUUUAAGCGUGUAGGCUGGUUUUCCAGGCAAAUCCGGAAAAUCAAGGCUGAGGCGUGAUGACGAGGCACUACGGUGCUGAAGCGACAAAUGCCCUGCUUCCAGGAAAAGCCUCUAAGCAUCAGGUAACAUCAAAUCGUACCCCAAACCGACACAGGUGGUCAGGUAGAGAAUACCAAGGCGCUUGAGAGAACUCGGGUGAAGGAAACUAGGCAAAAUGGUGCCGUAACUUCGGGAGAAGGCACGCUGAUAUGUAGGUGAAGCGACUUGCUCGUGGAGCUGAAAUCAGUCGAAGAUACCAGCUGGCUGCAACUGUUUAUUAAAAACACAGCACUGUGCAAACACGAAAGUGGACGUAUACGGUGUGACGCCUGCCCGGUGCCGGAAGGUUAAUUGAUGGGGUCAGCGCAAGCGAAGCUCUUGAUCGAAGCCCCGGUAAACGGCGGCCGUAACUAUAACGGUCCUAAGGUAGCGAAAUUCCUUGUCGGGUAAGUUCCGACCUGCACGAAUGGCGUAAUGAUGGCCAGGCUGUCUCCACCCGAGACUCAGUGAAAUUGAACUCGCUGUGAAGAUGCAGUGUACCCGCGGCAAGACGGAAAGACCCCGUGAACCUUUACUAUAGCUUGACACUGAACACUGGUCCUUGAUGUGUAGGAUAGGUGGGAGGCUUUGAAGUGUGGACGCCAGUCUGCAUGGAGCCGUCCUUGAAAUACCACCCUUUAAUGGCUGGUGUUCUAACGUGGGCCCGUAAUCCGGGUUGCGGACAGUGUCUGGUGGGUAGUUUGACUGGGGCGGUCUCCUCCUAAAGAGUAACGGAGGAGUACGAAGGUUGGCUAAUCCUGGUCGGACAUCAGGAGGUUAGUGCAAUGGCAUAAGCCAGCUUGACUGCGAGCGUGACGGCGCGAGCAGGUGCGAAAGCAGGUCAUAGUGAUCCGGUGGUUCUGAAUGGAAGGGCCAUCGCUCAACGGAUAAAAGGUACUCCGGGGAUAACAGGCUGAUACCGCCCAAGAGUUCAUAUCGACGGCGGUGUUUGGCACCUCGAUGUCGGCUCAUCACAUCCUGGGGCUGAAGUAGGUCCCAAGGGUAUGGCUGUUCGCCAUUUAAAGUGGUACGCGAGCUGGGUUUAGAACGUCGUGAGACAGUUCGGUCCCUAUCUGCCGUGGGCGCUGGAGAACUGAGGGGGGCUGCUCCUAGUACGAGAGGACCGGAGUGGACGCAUCACUGGUGUUCGGGUUGUCAUGCCAAUGGCACUGCCCGGUAGCUAAAUGCGGAAGAGAUAAGUGCUGAAAGCAUCUAAGCACGAAACUUGCCCCGAGAUGAGUUCUCCCUGAGACUUAGAGUCUCCUGAAGGAACGUUGAAGACGACGACGUUGAUAGGCCGGGUGUGUAAGCGCAGCGAUGCGUUGAGCUAACCGGUACUAAUGAACCGUGAGGCUUAACCUU